rnacentral:lncRNA from 1 species
UUUUCUAACUUUGGCAAAUUCAUUUUGACUAUAGGUGGUUUAGGGAAUGUCCGAAUAAACUACAUACUUAAAAAUCACACAAAAAGGGGAAAAAAAUCUUGGAAUUGUUUUCAGUACCGUCUGAAUCUUCAAACUCUAUAAUAUUCAAGUGACUCAUUUUGUACAUCUCUACAAACAUUUGAACUGCAUUAUGAAAAUAAUCUACCCACCAAUACGCCUGAUGCAAAAGAGAGUCAUCAACAACACUUAUGACAUCUAUACCAAAGAGAAAAUUAUAACCUACAUCUUGUUGCUUUUGUAAAGGCCGGAUAGGAACAAAAUCAAAAAGUGGAUGACCAAAAGGAAUACCUUUAAAAAUUUCUAUUUUUCUGGCACUGGUGGUUUCAAUAAAAAUCUCAAGCAAGCCAACAAAAUCUCAACAGUUGUUCAUUCGAGUCGGUUAUGAUCUGAGGCCGAAUCAAAUGACUUGAUUCGUGUAAGGAGAGCAUAGUGGUUGUUGGUGAAUGAUUCAUGCGACUUGAGCACCACAUAAUUGUUAGUUUUCAAACUAUUGCACGAAAAAUGAAAUAUAGAAUGAGAUAUAUGUUGUAUGACUUGUUUAUUGAAUGAAUG